UACGUAGGGGGCUAGCGUUGUCCGGAAUUAUUGGGCGUAAAGCGCGCGCAGGCGGUCCUUUAAGUCUGAUGUGAAAGCCCACGGCUCAACCGUGGAGGGUCAUUGGAAACUGGGGGACUUGAGUACAGAAGAGAAGAGUGGAAUUCCACGUGUAGCGGUGAAAUGCGUAGAGAUGUGGAGGAACACCAGUGGCGAAGGCGACUCUUUGGUCCGUAACUGACGCUGAGGCGCGAAAGCGUGGGGAGCAAACAGG
rnacentral:rRNA from 1 species